rfam:Tupaia chinensis contig236188, whole genome shotgun sequence.
GCUGGGUGCGGUGGCACGUGCCUAUAACGCAGCUACCCAGGAGGCUGAGGCAGGAGGAUCACUUGAGUCCAGGAGUUCGGGGGUAUAGUGCCCUCGGCCGAUCGGGUGUCUGCACUAAGUUCAGCACCAAUAUGGUGACCUCCCAGGAGCAGGGGACCACCAGGUUGUCUAAGGAGGGGUGAACCAGACCAGGUAGAAAUGGAGCAGGUCAAAAUUCCCACGCUGAUCAGAAAUUAAGAUGAUUUUAAAUUUUAAUAUAAAGACAAAAGAUUU